AUUGAACGCUAGCGGCAUGCCUAACACAUGCAAGUCGAACGAGUGGCGGACGGGUGAGUAAUAUAUGGGAACGUGCCCAGUGGCGGGGGAUAACUACUGGAAAGAGUGGCUAAUACCGCAUACCAUUGGAGCGGCCGAUAUGGGAUUAGGUAGUUGGUGGGGUAAAGGCUCACCAAGGCAAAGAUCACUAGCUGGUUUGAGAGGACGACCAGCCACACUGGAACGGGGACACGGUCCAGACUCAUACGGAAGGCAGAAGUGGGGAAUAUGGGACAAGGGGGGAAAGCCUGAUGCAGCCAUGCCGCGUGUAUGAAGAGGGCCUUCGGGUUGUAAAGUACGUUCAGCGGGGAGGCGGUAUCCGCAGAAGAAGCACCGGCUAACUACGUGCCAGCAGCCGCGGUAAUUC
rnacentral:rRNA from 1 species